UUUGAAUCACUUUUGUUUUGAUCAAGGCACUUAUGGUUUGCAAAUUUGGAGAAUACGACCACUUCUCUACCGUCUUCUCCAAAUUUAAAUCCUAUGAAGAAAGGGAGAGCUCAUUUUUUAGAAGAAAGCAGAUUGAAGAGAGAAGAGGAGAGAGAAGGUAGAACCUUUUGGUUAUAAAAGGCAUUCGAUUAUGCCUUUGGAUGUGGGGAGAGCGGCAGAUGAGAGAGCACAGGGAGAGCAUUCGGCUCUCCCAUUUGAAUAUGAGUUGCUCCUUCCCACCAUUUGUAAUAAUCCAAUUUUGUUAGUAAUCACUCAAUCAAAGAUGUUGGUGCUACUUGUGUAGCUUUUGGGAGAGAAGGAUUUUGAUAUGUGUUUCUUCUUCUCCAUUUGUUUCUUAGUUUGAGUGAGAGCUAUUGGGUGUAUGUGGGAUUUGGGUUUGAGUGUUGAACUCUAUUUGUAAUCUUCUUUUGAUAUUAGUGGAAUUUCCUCGCCGUCUCGGAACUGGAUGUAGGCUUAUGCCGAACCAGUAUAAAAAUCCUUGUGUCUUUUGGAUUAUUUGUCUUGUCAUAUUUUGCCAUUAUUAGCUUUGGUUUCAUAUUUGAAGCUUCAGCAAUACAAACAGUACAAGAUCAAUGAAUUCCUAUGAAUGAAUAAACUAAAGAAAUCGAAGAAAGAGAAUAACGAGAGAGAAAAGCUUUUCAUUUAUAUUGCUCUAACAGAAAAUGAUUACAUGAUAAAAAUCUAAGUCUCCAAAACAAUAAUUAUAUAGAGACUAGAAUGAGCAGAAUCACAAUAUUGCCUUUCUAACUAAUUCUUAUCUUCUAACAACCUCAACACUCACAAGCUUGACACUUGUCAUUUCU
rnacentral:sRNA from 1 species